rnacentral:misc_RNA from 1 species
GGAUUUGCUAUGAGCAGACGUGUAGCCGUCGGCGUAAAAAGAAAAAGAGAAGAGGCGUCUUUGUGCACCUCCCCGGCGAUAUCGAGUUUGACCGCCGCUCGUGUUUCCUCGCUGCUUUGCCUUUCGUAACGUUUGUGUCCGCUAUAUCUCGCCUGUGUCUCAGGCGCGAUGGAGGCGGAGGAGAUCACGCAGGUGAGCAUUGGCAAUGCCACCACCGCACCGAUGCUUUUCUGCUCACGCUGCAACAACCUCCUUUACCCCGAGUGUGAUGAUGACAACUACAGCAUGACGUGGCGCUGCAACUACUGCAAAACGACUGAGCAGCACGAUGACUGCAAGCUCGUCCACGUUAUGAACCUGAAGAUGAAAGCGGACGCGAUCGGUGGCAUGGAUCUCAUUGCCGAGUUCGCCAACGACCCGACCGCGCAGCGUGAUCCUGAGAAGCCUUGCCCCAAGUGCGGCAAGAAGGGCGUUGCUUGCUUCGUGAACCCGCUCGGCCAACCGCAGGAGGACAUGACACUUUACUUUGCUUGCUCUGAUACGGUGUGUCGCCACGUUUGGAAGGGUGCUGCCGCCGAGGACCAGAACUAGCAUGACGCGCCUCGGCUCAGAACGGGGCGGGGGGCAGGUCGGCUAAAGUGCAGCUCUGCCCUUUGCGCCACAGCGCUCUCGCGUUCGUUUGUUUUUCUUUGCUAAAAUGUGGGACAAGACAUUGAUCAGAUGACGUACCAUGCGCGACUCUGGGGUACAGUCUCCCCUCCCCCUCCCCAUUUUCAUUACAAGAAUGAAAGGUUUUGUGUGCUCCUGUGCUAUCCGCCUUGCAUCGCCAUCGACCGCGUCGUUGUCUUUCCUGCAGCGGUGUCCUGGAAAUG